rnacentral:lncRNA from 1 species
GUCUUCAUACCAACAACAGGUAUAAGCCACCUCCUAUCCUCAGUAGAGGUAGCAAAGCUUCUUGUAGACCGUGAUGAGAGGCUUUCAAUCACCUUCCUCAUCAUGAAACUAAGUUCUGACCCCAAGAUUGAUAGGUUUAUAAAUUCAGUGAGUACAGCCUGUAAUCGUAUCCGGUUCAUUGACUUGCCUAAAGAUGAGCCUGAUCCAAACCAACCCAGGAAGUUUCUCUUUUCUUUGAUUGAAGCCCAGAAACCCCAUGUCAAAGAAGAAGUCUUUAAGCUUGUGAGUCAGUCUGAGUCAAGCCCUCACUCGCCUUCUCUUGCUGGGUUUGUUCUUGAUAUGUUUUGUACAUCUAUGAUAGAUGUGGCCAAUGAAUUUGGUGUUCCAUCAUAUAUUUUCCUUACGUCAGGUGCAGCUUGUCUUGGCCUUCAAUUUUAUGUUCAGGCUCUUCACGAUGAGCAGAAAGUUGACCCUACUGAGUUCAAGGGCUCGGAUGCUGAGUUGGUCAUGCCGUGUUUGGCAAAUCCUCUUCCAGCUAAGGUCUUGCCUUUUUUUAUGCUUGACAAAGAGUGGCUGCCACUUUUCGUCGGUCUAGCUAGAAGGUUUAGAGAAAGUAAGGGUAUUAUAAUAAACACAUUUGAAGAGCUGGAAUCUCAUGCGAUUGACUCCUUUUCUAAGGCCAAGGGUAAUACCCCUCCGGUAUAUCCAGUGGGUCCCAUUUUAAACCUUAAUAGAGAUGCUGAUUGUGACGAGGAGUCUGAUAAAUACAAAGACAUCAAGCAAUGGCUCGAUGAGCAGCCUCUAUCCUCGGUAGUGUAUCUAUGCUUCGGAAGCAUGGGGAGUUUCGGUGCGGAUCAAGUGAAGGAAAUUGCUUGCGGGCUAGAGCAGAGUGGGCAUCGAUUCUUGUGGUCUCUACGUAAACCACCACCGAAAGGCGAGAUGGAACUUCAUCCAAGCGAUUACACUGAUCCUCGGGAUGUCUUACCUGAAGGGUUUUUGGAUCGGACGACUAACAUUGGAAAAAUAAUUGGAUGGGCCCCACAAACAGAUAUUUUGGCCCAUCCAUCUGUAGGAGGGUUUGUUUCGCACUGUGGAUGGAACUCUGUAUUGGAAAGCAUAUGGUUUGGCGUUCCAAUUGCCACAUGGCCAUUACAUGCAGAGCAACAACUUAAUGCUUUUAUGUUAAUUGUUGAGCUCGGAUUGCGAGUGGAAAUUAAAAUGGAUUAUAGAAGAGAAUUUAACUGGGAUGGUAGUGAAAAUGUCAUUAGUGCCGGGGAGAUCGAGAGAGGAGUAAGGUGUUUAAUGGAGCUUUGCGAUGAGAAGAGGGAGAAGUUGAAGGAGAUGAGUGGAAAGAGCAGGAAGGCUUUGGAGAACGGUGGAUCCUCGUUCACUUGGUUAGGUCGUUUCAUUCAAGAUACGGUAGACCACCUGCCAUGAUUAAACUGUACUCUCUUCGUGUUAUUUAAUAAAACGCUUGAGUCUUUCUAGGGCAGGACCUAACUUUAUAUAUUCUAUUUGGGUUGGCAAUCCAGCAAGACCAAAUCUCAAUAUAUAUUAAAAAAAAUACAAAAAUAUUAAAAAUAUUAAUUUGAAGUAAAGAAAACAAUAAAAAAUAUUUAAAAAAUUUUCAAAGCAUUUUUUACACCAAAACCAAACAUGUUUUAAUAAGAAAAUUCAACUCAAUAAAAAAAAUUAUCAUCACCUAAAGUUUGUAUAAUGUAAAACAAAAUCAUAUUAAUUUAUUUUCUCAUUACAGUAUGAAAACAAAUCAAUAAGAGAAAAGAAAAGAAAAUUCAAGAGGAAGAUAAUUUUUUUUAUUUGUUAAAAAUUAUUUUUUAUAUAAUCAUGUCAAAUUAAUACAAAAACAUCUUAAUAUGAAUUAAGGAAAAAUAAUAAUUUAAAGUAAAGAAAAAAAUAAAAAAAUUAUCAAAUUUUUUUCAAAGCAUUGUUGAAAAACAAAAACAAAAAUGGUUUAAUAAGAAAAUUCAACCCAACCUAAAACUAAAAAAAACUUUAUCAUCACCUAAUUUUUUUAGAAUAUAAAAAAACAAUAUUGGGUUCAGCUGCCCUGGCAAACCCAAGCCAGACCCAACCUCUUUUUUGGCACUUUUUGGAAGUGUUUUGAAUCUAACUUGUCAGCCCGGCCCAAUAGUGUUGGGCCCAGCUACCAAGCCCCACCUAACAACUUUUUGCAGAGAAGGCAACGCCCUCAGCCACAAUUUUUUACCAAAAACACAGAUGAGAAUCGUCUCUUAAGGCGCUGCAAUAUUGUCCACAUUGAAAGCAAUCUAUACCUAUAAUGUCGUCUACAAUGCAAUGUGUCUGUGUCCACUCCCAUAUGUUUUGAAAGAGCCCAGCAGACAGUAAAUGCAACUACCUGUUGGAUCUUAUAUAAUACAAAAAUAUAAAGUAUAUUAUGUGAACGAAAAAAUUAUUUGGAAUUAUAAUUUUUCUGAAAGCUUUUAUUUUGAAAAACAAAUUCAAGAGGGUUCUUUGAAACCCUCGGAUUGGAUAUUUUGACCAAUAAAAAACAUUUCACUUCACCAAAAAGCAAAACAAAAGUUUUUAACACUGAUACAACCCUAUCCAUGAGAAUCGAUUAAAUUUUCAGGACAAGUUUGUUUAAAACAAACAUCAAAAUGAUUUUUUGAAUAGCUUUACAACUUAUCUUUCACACAGCCUUGUCCCUAAAGAAACCUAAACACUUGAGAACAUGAUCAAACUGAGAGGCAAUCCAACAAACACAUAAUAGGGUUGAUGCAGAGCUGGCAACCUUUAUAUAAAGGUUUGUGGGCAAAGAAAUAUGCUGAUGUGAUACCCCUCCUAGAGGUCAAGAUCAUAAGAUGUGACUCUAGUAAGCAAAAGUAAAGAGUCGUCAAAGCUUACUAUCAAAGAUUCAAAUUUUUUAGAAAAGGAAAACUCCAUAAGAAAAGGAGACAUAUAUUUCUUAGGUAAGUAUACAUGCAUUUCAAUCAUGAUACAUUGCUUCCAUCAUUUGAUAGAUCGGUGUCUCACCAUCACCUCUUUUUGAGUGCGUUAUUGGGCCCUCAUCAUUCAGCUAGUACACUUUACAGCCCUACCUUUUUUUUUCCUUUUGAGUAUGCCUUCGAGCCCUCCACCACUUAAGUUUUGUACUUUGCAGCCCUACCUUUUUCAAUUUGAACAUGCUUUCGAGCUCUCCACCAUAUUAGGUUUUGCGCUUUACAGAUCUAUAUUUUUUCCUUCGAGUGCGUCUUCAAGCCCUCAACCAUCUUGAGUCAGGCAUUUUCUAACCAAACUUUCUUUUGAGUGCGCCUAAGAGCCCUCGACUACCAUGAAUAGUGCGUUUUCAAACCUCUUUCAAUUCUUUUAGAAAAUACUUUUAAAAUGUAAAAAUAACAUGGCGUUAUCUUUUUAUUAAUUUUCUCAUCCUCUAGUGGUUUCAAGGGUUUUGUACUGUAUAAAAGGACUUUUAUAAUAUUUAGGAAUGUGGUUAAAAUAUUGUUCGGUAAAAAUUUAAAUUUAAUUUUUUAUAUUUUUUAAUUGGUUUAAUGUAUUACUAUUAAAAAUAAAUUUAAAUUUUUUAUAUUAUACCCUAUACAGGACUUCCUUUAUACGCAUAACCAAAAGGGCAUCGAUUGUAUUUUUGUACAGAGAAGUAUAUAAAGCAAUUAAUGAAAAACACGUACCCCUAAAUCGAAAUACUUCAUAGUUGUUUUCUCCAUACAAUUUUCUCCUUUUCGUUUUAUUUUCAAGUAUGUUUAAAAACAAAUUUUAUAUAUUUCUUUGUCUUGAAGAAGAUACUGUUCUUGCAAAUUAAAAAAAAAAAAAACUCAUCCUGCAUUUACAAAGCAAGAAAAUAAUGUCUUUGAAUAACAAGUAGUUUUUAUUGAAGAUCAUGUAUUAUCUUAAUUUACAAAAUCAGGAUGUAUCUCCAUCAGAAAGGAGAAAACCAUUCCUUCCUAAGUUAUUUUAUAUUAAAAUAAAUAUUUUUUUAUUUUUAAAAUAUUAUUUUUAAUAUCAACACAUCAAAACAUUCUAAAAUAAUAAAAAAAUAAUUUUUAACAAAAACAAAAUUCAAAAUUCAAAAUUCAAAAAAUCAUAAUUUAAUCCGCAUUACCAAAGAUAACCUUCAUUUUCUUUUUCAAACGUUAGUAUGCAUGAUUUCUGCAAUGCCUUUUAUUUGUCAGGUAAAGUGAAACUUUCUACGCAAAGAAACUUUUAGUAAAUAAAGAAAGUGGAGAUGGGCCGGGCUUUCCUCGUACAAACUUGGAGCACAUCGCAUGUGGAUACGAUCAGGAGAAUGUUGGAUCGGUUAAGCCCAUAUUUUGUCUUAGGCCUAACCAAUGCUUAUUUGAUUAUUAGAAAUUUGAAAUUACAUUAUAUAUGUAAAUCGAACUAAUCGUAUUAUUACUUUGCAUUAUUUCUAAAAAUAUCAUCUUUCCUUCAAGAACUGUCCCUUUUCACUAAGGGCAUUUAUUUAUUUAUUUUUAUUAAAAUAUAGGUGUUAUUUGGUUCUAGAUUAAAUUUUUUUUAAAGAAAUUCUUAGAGUUGAUGUGUCUAGGUGUGACCUAGUUAAUAGGGUUAUUAACCAAGUUGUUUUGAGUGUAUAUAUAUAACUUGAACUUGGCCCAGAUCAAAUUUAAAAUCCUUGCUUUUUAAAUUAAUUUAUCAAGUUAAAUUAAGUUUAAUCAUUAUGACAUUUGGUUUUUUUUCUUGAUUUAAAGUUCAAGAUUAGUGUUUAUUUUCUAACUGAUACAAGAUGAUGUGUUUUUAAAGUUAUUCGUAACCUAAAUUUAAUCUCUAUUAACAUAAAUCCUAAAGCAUCAAUAUAUAUAUAUAUAUAUAUAUAGAAAAUUCAGCCCAAAAUAUGUAGUAAAAAACGUUGUCUUCUACUUUGAAUUUCAUAAAAGAGAUCUAAAUUUAAAUUUCUGACAGGGACGGCAUCCCAUUUUUUUGGGUCUUCUUGACGAAUUGUAAAAGCAGUCCACAAUCACAGCAAAGCCAUGACCUCACUCUUAUUCUUGUCCUGCUCGUAUAUAUUUUUGAACAAUAUAUUGCCAAUCUCAAGUCCACUUAAUUACAGCCACAAACAGUGCCUUUAAAAAGGAUACGAAAAUCAGUCUUUUACAUGCAAUCCCACCUUGAAAUCCUCUAGCAAACAAAGAAAAAAAAAAGGAGCUCAGUAGCAGAAUGAAGAAAGCUGAGCUGGUCUUCAUACCAACACCAGGUAUAAGCCACCUCGUAUCCACAGUAGAGGUAGCAAAGCUUCUUGUAGACCGUGAUGGGAGGCUUUCAAUCACCUUCCUCAUCAUGAAACUACGUUCUGACCCCAAGAUUGAUAGGUUUAUAAAUUCAGUGAGUACAGCCUGUAAUCGUAUCCGGUUCAUUGACUCCUAAAGAUGAGCCUGAUCCAAACCAACCUAGGAAGUUUCUCUUUUCUUUGAUUGAAUCCCAGAAACCCCAUGUCAAAGAAGAAGUCUUUAAGCUUGUGAGUCAGUCUGAGUCAAGCCCUGACUCGCCUUCUCUUGCUGGGUUUGUUCUUGAUAUGUUUUGUACAUCUAUGAUAGAUGUGGCCAAUGAAUUUGGUGUUCCCUCAUAUAUUUUCCUUACGUCAGGUGCAGCUUUUCUUGGCCUUCAAUUUUAUGUUCAGGCUCUUCACGAUGAGCAGAAAGUUGACCCUACUGAGUUCAAGGGCUCGGAUGCUGAGUUGGUCAUGCCGUGUUUGGCAAAUCCUCUUCCAGCUAAGGUCUUGCCUUCUGUUAUGCUUAACAAAGAGUGGCUGCCAAAUAUGCUCAGUCAAGCUAGAAGGUUUAGAGAAAGUAAGGGUAUUAUAAUAAACACAUUUGAAGAGCUGGAAUCUCAUGCGAUCGACUCCUUUUCUAUAGGUAAUAGCCCUCCGGUAUAUCCAGUGGGUCCCAUUUUAAACCUUAAUAGAGAUGGUGAUUGUGACGAGGAGUCUGAUAAAUACAAAGAUAUCAAGCAAUGGCUCGAUGAUCAGCCUCUAUCCUCGGUAGUGUAUCUAUGCUUCGGAAGCAUGGGGAGUUUCGGUGCGGAUCAAGUGAAGGAAAUUGCUUGUGCGCUAGAGCAGAGCGGCCAUCGAUUCUUGUGGUCUCUACGUAAACCACCACAGAAAGGUAAGAUGGAACCUCCAAGCGAUUACACUAAUCCUCGGGAUGCCUUACCUGAAGGAUUUUUGGAUCGGACGGCUAACAGUGGAAAAGUAAUUGGAUGGGCUCCACAGACAGAUAUUUUGGCCCAUCCAUCUGUAGGAGGGUUUGUAUCGCACUGUGGAUGGAACUCUAUAUUGGAAAGCAUAUGGUUUGGCGUUCCAAUUGCCGCGUGGCCAUUAUAUGCAGAGCAACAACUUAAUGCUUUUCAAAUAAUUGUGGAGUUAGGGUUGGGAGUGGAGAUUAAAAUGGAUUAUAGAAAGGACUUGUACUCGGAUGGUAAUGAAAAUGUCAUUAGUGCCGGGGAGAUCGAGAGAGGAGUGAGGUGUUUAAUGGAGCUUUGCGAUGAGAAGAGGGAGAGGUUGAAGGAGAUGAGUGGAAAGGGCAAGAAGGCUUUGGAGAACGGUGGAUCCUCGUUCACUUGGUUAGGUCGUUUCAUUCAAGAUACGGUGGAUCAACUGCCAUGAUUAAAUUGUACUCUCUUCAUCUUGUUUAAUACAAAGUCUUUCAGCUGAUAUGUUGUCUUUCUAUAAUAUAUAUGUAUUUCUCUGGUCUUUUUUUUUUAAUAUGAAUGUCAGAACCUUCUUUAUUAUUAUUAGUUCUCGUGAUUGAUUUGAAAACUGAUAUGAAAGAAGUUUAGGUCAUCAGUUGAUUCUAUAAUAAUUAUUUUUAUUAAAACAGUAUUUUUUUCUUUUAUUGAUUUGACGAGAGUCGAACAGAUUUGAUUGAUUUAAUAUUUUAACUGAUUUUAACUAAAAACUUUAAAUGUCGAAUUUCUAAAGGCCAAGCUGAUAAACUUCUAACAGACUACCAAACAUAUGUGGUGUGUGUGUGUGUGUGUGAAAUUAUUGUAAUUAAAAAAACAGUUGAAGAAGUAUUGUCAUAGAUUUCGGCAAACCUAGAAAACAUAGUAAAAUUACAUUUGAUUUGUACAUUGAAAUUAUCACUUUAGCUUUGUCAAGAAAAACUCAAUGCAAUUCAUUUUAAAGAUAUAAAAGUCUUUUUCAAUAUUAGAGACGAAAGGCCUCUCUUUUUUCAUAGUAAAAUUACAUAAUUAUUCUUAAAAAUAAAAAAAAAUAUUAAACUUAAUAUAGUAGUGUUUUAGUUUUUUUUUUUUCUCAACAUAGUAGUAGAAUGAUUUUAGUAUCUUAGAAAGCAAAAAUUACUAAACUUCUUUCAGGUUUUUUGUUUUAAUUUCAUUAAUUUUUUUUAAUAAUAAUCAAGUUGAUUUAGGACUAAUUUUAUAUUUUGAUAAAUAUAUAAUAUUAUUAAAAAAAUAAUGAUUUAACUGUGAUUAAUCCAUGGAAAUUAAAUCAAAUACAAAAAAAAAUUUAUAAAGGAUAAUAAAAUUAUGGUUGCCGAUGAGGGGAGGGUGUUUUAGAAUAUGGUAACGUUGCUUUUCAAAGUGUUUUUCGCUUAUAAAUUUAUUAAAAUAACAUAUAUAUCUUUUACUUUUGAAAAAUUAUUUUUGACAUUAACACAUUAAAACAAACAAAAAACAUAAACAAAAAAUUUUAAACAAAAAAAAAAUUUUUACCAAAAAAAAAAUUAAACCAUCCAGUCAAACACACCCAGAACAAAAUAAAGCAAGAAGAUGAAAGAGACGAGCAAAACAAGUCGAAAAGCUUUGAAUAAUGAAGGAUGUUCAUAUUCGUCAUUCAAUCGUCUAAUUGCAGACAUGAUGGAUAAUACACAUUCAAUAAAUUUUCUUUAACUUUAUUCCUUACUUAGCCUUGAUUUAAAAAAUGAACCCUGUAAGAAAGGGAAAAAAUUAAUUAAAUUCGAUUAAGGCUUAAUCCUCUUUUUUGUCACAGAUUUCCUCUUCUAUAUCUCAAAGAAUCGCUCUUCUCUUUCUCGCCGUGCAUCCAACAAUGAUAAAGGCACUUUCCCCUGCAACCCUUGACCUGCAAAAAUCAGCAAAAAAACCCCAUCAAUUUAAACAUUUGAUUUUUUUUUUUUUUUGGAAUGAGAGAAUCGCACGAACUUAACAAAAAAAACCUCAUCUUCCGAAAACAAAUCCCAAACGCAAACAUCAUUGCUGCUAUGUGGAGAGGGGAAAAAAAGUGAAAAAAAAUCAAGCAAUGCUCUCUCUCGGCAACAGAGAGGAGAGAAUAAGAUAAAACAAACAAGCUGUGGACAGGGGAGAGAGAAAGUGAACAAUUGACAAAGUAAUUGUAGUUGUAAGAAACCCACCAUUUCCUAAUGAGAUAUCCAUCUACAAAACACACCCGUCAGGAAGAAAAAAAUUGUAAUUGGCAAGACAUCAAGCCCACAUAGAAUAAGCCUGGUGCCUUGCAACAAAGACUAAGAAUUUUAUAUAUAUAUAUAUAUAUAUAUAUAUAUAUAUAUAUCAUAAAAAUGACAUCUUAGCAAUGAAAACUACAAUUAAAGUUGAUUCUGUUUUAAUUUUUUUUUGUUAACAAAAUUUAAUUUCUCCAAUAUUAUUGACAGGCAAUACUCAGCGGGUCAGGUUAAAUUUUGUUUAAUGUAAAAAAAUAUUUAAGCAUUGCUGCUUUUUCUAGUAGAAAAAAAUUGAUUCGAUGUAUCAAUGAUUUAAACCAAAACAUAGAUCUAGAUAAUAUAGAAUAUAGUUGUUAGACUCCGUUCACUAACAUAUUAAAAAAAAAUUUGAAUCCCCAAUUAUCAAGAUUAAUUUGUAUGUUACUAGCUUCCAUGUCAAUUAUUUUUAUUAAAAUAUCAGUAUUAUUUGGUUCUAGGCUUUUUUAAAAAAAACAAUUCUUAGUGUUGAUGUUUCUAGGUGAGUUAUUAACUAAGUUUUUGAAAAAAAUUAAAAUCACUACUUUUUCAAAUUAAUUUAUCAAAUCAUAUGAAGUCAAAUCAAGUUUAACCAUUAUAAUAUUAUGAUAUUUGAUUUUUUUUUCUUCAUUUAAAUUUCAAGAUUAGUGUUUAUUUUUUAAAAAAAAUACACCGAACUGAUAUAAAGAUAGAUUAUGUGUUUUUAAAGUUAUUCAAAACCUAAAUUUAAUCUUUAUUAACAUCAAUCUAUAUAUAUAUAUAUAUAAAAGCAUAGAAAAUUCAGCCCAUAAUAUGUAGUAAAAAACGUUGUCGUCUUCUACUUUGAAUUUCAUAAAAGAGAACUCAAUUUAAAUUUCUGACAGGGACGGCAUCCCAUUUUUUUGGGUCUUCUUGACGAAUUGUAAAAGCAGUCCACAAUCACAGCAAAGCCAUGACCUCACUCUUAUUCUUGUCCUGCUCGUAUAUAUUUUUGAACAAUAUAUUGCCAAUCUCAAGUCCACUAAUUACAGCCACAAACAGUGCCUUUAAAAAGGAUAUGAAAAUCAGUCUUUUACAUUCAACCCCACCUUGAAAUCCUCUAGCAAACAAAGAAAAAAAAAGGAGCUCAGUAGCAGAAUGAAGAAAGCUGAGCUGGUCUUCAUACCAACACCAGGUAUAAGCCACCUCGUAUCCACAGUAGAGGUAGCAAAGCUUCUUGUAGACCGUGAUGAGAGGCUUUCAAUCACCUUCCUCAUCAUGAAACUACGUUCUGACCCCAAGAUUGAUAGGUUUAUAAAUUCAGUGAGUACAGCCUGUAAUCGUAUCCGGUUCAUUGACUUGCCUAAAGAUGAGCCUGAUCCAAACCAACCCAGGAAGUUUCUCUUUUCUUUGAUUGAAGCCCAGAAACCCCAUGUCACAGAAGAAGUCUGUAAGCUUGUGAGUCAGUCGGAGUCAAGCCCUGACUCGCCUCCUCUUGCUGGGUUUGUUCUUGAUAUGUUUUGUACAUCUAUGAUAGAUGUGGCCAAUGAAUUUGGUGUUCCAUCAUAUAUUUUC